AGGACGAACGCUGGCGGCGUGCUUAACACAUGCAAGUCGAGGGCACUUUGGGGGCAACUCUGGAGUGACCGGCGAACGGGUGCGUAACACGUGAGCGACCUUGCCUCGUGGUGGGGGAUAGCCGGCCCAAACGGCCGGGUAAUACCGCAUAUGGUAGUUUCUUCGCAUGGGGAGACUAGCAAAGCUGUGGAGUAAUCCAUGGCGCCACAGGGGGGGCUCGCGGCCUAUCAGCUAGUUGGGGGGUAAUGGCCCACCAAGGCGACGACGGGUAGCUGGU
rnacentral:rRNA from 1 species